UCAGUGGGUCGGGAGGCCGCGGGUGGCCGGCCAUGCCGGCGACCCGAGGAAAGUCCGGACUCCGCAGGGCAGGGUGCCGGGUAACGCCCGGCGGGGGCGACCCCAGGGAGAGUGCCACAGAGACCAUACCGCCGGCCGGCCCCAGGGGCCGGCGCCGGCAAGGGUGAAAAGGUGAGGUACGAGCUCACCAGCGGUCAGGCGACUGGCCGGCUGGGCAAACCCCACCCGGAGCCAGACCAAGUAGGAGGGGCCCCGGAGGUGGCCCGCCUCGAUGCCCCUCGGGUAGGUCGCUGGAGACGGGCGGCGACGUCCGUCCUAGAGGGAUGGCCUCCCUCGACAGAAUCCGGCUUAUAGACCCGCUGGCCGU
rnacentral:RNase_P_RNA from 1 species